UACGUAGGGGGCAAGCGUUGUCCGGAAUCAUUGGGCGUAAAGAGCGUGUAGGCGGUCCGGUAAGUCGGCUGUGAAAGUCCAGGGCUCAACCCUGGGAUGCCGGUCGAUACUGCCGGACUAGAGUUCGGAAGAGGCGAGUGGAAUUCCCUGUGUAGCGGUGAAAUGCGCAGAUAUCGGGAGGAACACCUAUGGCGAAGGCAGCUCGCUGGGACGUUACUGACGCUGAGACGCGAAAGCGUGGGGAGCGAACAGG
rnacentral:rRNA from 1 species